CCUACGGGCGGCAGCAGUGGGGAAUAUUGCGCAAUGGAGGGAACUCUGACGCAGCAACGCCGCGUGAAGGAUGAAGGUUUUCGGAUUGUAAACUUCUUUGAUCGGGGACGAAAUUGACGGUACCCGAGGAACAAGCCACGGCUAACUACGUGCCAGCAGCCGCGGUAAUACGUAGGUGGCAAGCGUUGUCCGGAAUUACUGGGUGUAAAGGGCGUGUAGGCGGGAAGGCAAGUCAGAUGUGAAAGCCCAUGGCUUAACUGUGGAAUUGCAUCUGAAACUGUUUUUCUUGAGUGCUGGAGAGGAAAGUGGAAUUCCUAGUGUAGCGGUGAAAUGCGUAGAUAUCACACAGAACACCAGAGGCGAAGGCGGAGUACUAGACCAUAGUUGACGCUGAGGCACGAAAGCGUGGGGAUCAAACAGGAUUAGAUACCCUUGUAGUCA
rnacentral:rRNA from 1 species